UUUUAAAUGACGAAAUGUGGCACAGAAAGCCUUAGUAUAUUGCUGAAAAUCACAGCUAGUCAGGGUGUUGGGAGGAUUUGAACCUAGGCACUCUGGCUUCAGAGCCUGUGCUCUUAUCCACCCCACCAUUCCAAGCCUGGAAGCCCUGAGCUCAGACGACAGAACCGGGGCAGCACUCACAGACCCCACGGUAAACUGGCCACGGAAUCAUAACCACAGCCCUGUUCCUCUCAGUCAACCUUCACAGCAGUUUGAGGAGUUGAGUGGUCACUGUGCCCAUGUUAUAAAUGAAGAAACUGAGGCUCUGAGAGUCAAGAAAGAUGGCACAGGACUCAGACAAGGCUACACGUCACCCUGACUCUCUAACAUCUGGCACGUGGCAGAUGCUCAGUUAAAAUUAAGUGAAGGAGUGAAGGAAUGAAUGGAUGAAUGUAGGACACUGCCUGCCCACUCAGUCUGAUGUGUGAGUGGCAGAGGCUAUGUGUGGAUGGGCCAGGAGCUGUGAAAACCUCCUUGCUUUAAGACAAGAGACCAUGCUGAACGUGGUGGCUCAUGCCUGUAAUCCCAGCACUUUGGGAGGCCAAGGCUGGAAGAUCACCUGAGGUCAGGAAUUUGAGACCAGCCUGACUUACAUGGCAAAACCCUGUCUCUACUAAAAAUACAAAAUUAGCCAGGCAUGGCAGUGCAUGCCUGUAAUCCCAGCUACUUGGGAGGCUAAGGCAGGAGAAUUGCUUGAACCCAGGAGGCAGAGGUUGCAGUGAGCUGAGAUCACACCAUUGCACUCCAGCCUGGGCAACCAGAGCGAAACUCUGUCUCAAAAAAUUAAAUAAAAUAAAAAUUAAAAAUAAGAUAAGCAACCAAGUCAGGAUUUGAGGCUCUGAGACACUGAGGGGAGGCUCAGGGCAGAGGUGACUAUGUGGGGUGGGGGACACAGGUUCUCUAACAGUUGAGGGUGAAUCAGAGCAGGAGAUGCUUCUCCAGUUUUGACUCAGUCACCUCCAAAACAGAGCAGAACCCUGGCUCACACAGGAUGAGCUUUGGAGUCACAGGGAUCAGGGUUUCCUGCCUCUGUGUGUGACUUCGACCGAAGCAAUCACCGUCUCUAAAUUUCAACUUCCUCCUCUGUCAAAUGGAGGUGACAGCUACCAGCCCUAGGGCUGCUGUGAGAACAAAGUCAAGGGGCAGAUGUGCGGUCACCUGGCAGGUGGCAUGUGUCCUUCCCAUUGAUGGCUGCUGUUGUCCAGUGGCCAGGCCAGUGUGGUGAGGCCCAAGUGGGUUCAGAAUGGGAGCCAGGCAGUGCCGGAACUGUGCCCUUGGCAGGCAGGAUAAGCCACAGACAAGUUCAGAGCAAGUCUCUCCCCAAAUCAGGGUCUCAGUUUCUCCGUGUGUAACACAAGGCCCCAAAUCUCUCCCAGAGCUGACCUUCUAGAAACUCGGUAUUCACCAACACAUCCGGCAAAGGGAAAGUCGUGAGCCUGCCUGACCAUAGGACCACCAAGAGGAGUCACAGAGAGGGGACCUGCUCUGCCCAGUGUCCUCCCACCAUAGGUCAAGGUCAAGAGCACACAGAGCCAUGAUCAUCUGAUUCCCAGAUCCGGCCCGAAGUGAAGGAAAGUGUGCUGGAUGUAGAAUCAGCACACAGAGGGCCAGUCCUGGAUCUGCCACCUACGUCCAUGGACAUUGGACAAGUCACUUCUUCCAUUUCCCCAUUUCUUUAUGCAUAGCAUGGGAAUAGCCCUUAUCUCUUUUAGAAGAAAAUGUAGGAGACGCUGUUGGAGUAGUGAAGGAUUUCUUAAACAAUUCACAGAAAGCAUAAACCACAGAGAAAAAUCUGACUGCAUUAAAACUUAACAUUGCUGUAACCAAAAAGCACCAAAUCCAAAAUUAGCAGAGAGGCCACAGGCUUGGAGAAAAUAUUUACAAUACAUAUAACUGACAAGGGAUCAAUAUCUAUAAUACAUAAAGAAUUUUUACAAUCCAAUUUCAAAAGCAAAUAGAAAAAGAGGCAAAAAUAUCCACAAGCAUUCACAGAAGAAACUCUAAAGCCCAAUCAAUUUAUAAACACAUGCUCAGCUUCGCUGUCGACCAGGGAAAUGCAAAUUUAAGCAAUUGAAAGACUAUUUCAUAAACAUCAGGUUGGGGAAAAAAAAUCUAACGAAAUGUUGCAGAGGAGGUGGGAAAGACAGGAGCUUUUAGGAAAGGAGUGCUGAUACUCUGACCUGGGAGAGCAAUUUGUCAAUAUCUAGUGAAGCUGGACGUGUCCAUGCCCUGGGGCCUCAUGAUCCAACAAGUCCAGUUUCAGAUAAAUAUCCCAAAAGAGUAAUUCCUAUACAUGGGCUCAUAAUUUGCACUGCAGCCCUGAUAUUAUUGGGAAGAUAAAGAGAACAAGCUAAAUGCCUAUCAGUAGAAGAUUGGAAGCACCAACAAAUCAGGAAAGAAGUGUGCCCAAAGAAAUUGCUAUUUGGAUGAACGUGACAUUUGUCGGCCAGCGACGGAAGCUGGAGGAGCAGUUGUGUUUGCAACGCAUAACCUCAUCUCACAGCCCAGACUCCCAAACACUGCACACACUUGUGGGCGGAGCAGUCGCCUGGGUGGAAAAACACAGCCGAACAGACAGGCUCUGAGCGAGGCAGGGAAGGAAAGAGGAAGGGAGGGAGGACAGGCGCACCAGCUAACAUACACCAAACGCUUAGGCCAGGCCCACUGCCAUUUCAUCCUCAAAACACAUACAUUACCCCCCACUCUAGAGAUGAGGAAACAAGCUCAGAAAGGGAAGGGGUUCUUUUGCCAAGAGCACGAAACUAAGAAGUAGCCAGAUUGAAUCCCGCCCGGUCUGGUUGGCGUGAAAUUCCUUGUCUAUAGCAAGGAGAAAGAGCUCAGUAAAUGAUGCUUCCUUUUUAUCUUUCUGUCCCUCCUUUUUCUUCCUUCCUGAGGAAACUGAGGCCCAGAGAGAUUACAGGAUGUGCCAGGACCACCUAGGGUGGUAACUAAUUGGAUGGCGAAGCUGAGGAAGAUGGGAGAAUCCAAAAUGAGUCUCAGGCUUCCACCACGCACAGAGAGGAGAAGCCUUCGUGGGAAAGAGGCGGUCAGAUGUGAAGGGAGGUGUUGGGUCGGAGGUAUCUUUGGAGCAACCUAUAAAGAUGUCCUGAGACAACCAGGUUGCGGGCUCUCUAAACUUGUGGAAAGAGAGGCAGGCUGGAAAGAUGGGGAGCCUCUAAACAUGAGCCUCGCUGUGAUGAGACUUCCUUCUCAGAGCCUAGGAGAACCUCUCAAUGCAAAAAUGAAUAAGGACUUCAGACUGCCUGACCGCCAAGAGCAGAGAGAGAUGAAGCCCAGAGAUGUUAAGUAACUUGUUCUGGUCACACAGUCAAGACAAGGACCGCAGUGUUCUUUCCACUGCAUAUCCUGAAGAAAGUGGUCCAUCCGAGUGGAGCAGAAAAAAGAGGCAGCUGAAAAUCCCAACCCAAUGAAGACCUGUUCAGAGAAGAGGCCCAUGGCUCAGAAAGGUCAGGAGUCUUUGAUCAUGAGGAUUGUAAAGGGGUGAGAGUCCCAGGAGGCCUAAUGGGUGGCUCCCAAACCCCAGAAACAGCCAGCCUUUCACAACUCCACACUGCACGAAAACCCCGGAAACAGCCAGCCUUUCACAACUCCACACUGCACGAAAACCCCGGAAACAGCCAGCCUUUCACAACUCCACACUGCACGAAAACCCCGGAAACAGCCAGCCUUUCACAACUCCACACUGCACGAAAACCCCGGAAACAGCCAGCCUUUCACAACUCCACACUGCACGAAAACCCCGGAAACAGCCAGCCUUUCACAACUCCACACUGCACGAAAACCCGAGUUUGAGCCGGGCACAGUGGCUCAGCACUCUGGGAGGCUGAGGCGGGUGGAUCACCUGAGGUCAGGAGUCCAAGACCAGUCUGCAACAUGGUGAAACCCUAUCUCUACUGAAAACACAAAAAUUAGCCAGGCGGGGUGGCAUGUGUCUGUAAUCCCAGCUACUUGGGAGGCUGAGACAGGAGAAUAGCUUGAACCCAGGAAGCGGAGGUUGCAGUGAGCCGAGAUCACACCAUUGCACUCCAGCCUGGGAGAUAGAGUAAGACUCCAUCUCAACAAACAAAAAAAAAGGGGGUGGAAAACCUGAGUUUUCACUUUCUCCAACAAAAUGCUGGCAACACUGCACCUGCCCCACCCGGGAUCCAGCUCCUAGGAUGAGUAGAGGCUGCUCCUCCAGCCAGGGAGCAGCCUGCAGUAUUCCGUAGUGCCCAGGCCCUGGCAUGCACCAUCAUCACACAGUGCCAGGCCUACCAUCCACAACGUCUCAGAGCUGUGCACCCACCAGAUCUACUUGUCUCCUGGUUCCUCUGUAACCCUUAAUCAAAGUCCACCCACCCAUUUUCCAGGUGCCAUAGUUGUAGUCUGAGAGGUGGGGAACCAGGAUGGCGGAGCUAAGUUAGCGGCACCCCCAGAAUCACCCUGACUCCAGGCCCCUUCUUCCCAUUGGCCAGGCUGUUCUCCCUGGAGGAUCCCAUACUGCCUCUCUUACAUUCCACAGGCGUCCUCGAGAGGGGACACAGCUGCAGGUCCUAUGGUCUUGCACACUCAUUGCAGUGCCCCGUGCCUUACUUUCUUCAUCUGUAAAAUGGGUAUGGUUUUACCAGGUCUGGGACAAAGUGCAAAAUUUAAGGAGGUGCUCACUAGCCUGAACUUGGGUGUUCCUUCCUGCCCAGGGAUAUAAGGGGCUCAUGGGAAAAAAAGAAUAGGAAAGAAGUCCACAUGGGUGCGGGAGGUAGUCGCAUCCACUCUGCUGCAUUGUCUUUCAUACAGCUCAGCCCCAGCAUCCUUUCUGCAAAGCAGAGCUCGUGCCGGACACAGUGGCUCAUGCCUGUAAUCCCAGCACUUUGGGAGGCCAAGGGGGGUAGAUCGAGACCAGCCUGAGCAACAUAGUGAGAUUGUGUCUCCCAAAAAAAAAAAAAAGGCAGAGUUCACUCCCAUUCCUCUUAUGCUCCCUUGUGCCCCCCUACUCAGCCACUUCCCUGCCUGGACUGACAACCACGUGCAUCUGGAUGCAUUCACCCACACAGAGGGAGAGUGUGAUUUGCUACCAUCACAGCAAAAAAUAACUUGGCAGCAGCAUCAGCUAGAAUCUUAAAUGUCCUGCCCUUUGACCUAGCAACUCCAUUCCUUGUGUAGAAAUCUACCUACCCAAAGUCAAGUUCAGUGUGUAAAGAUAUUGAUAAAAGUCACGGUCUCCAACAUGCAAGGAGAAGAUCAGAGCCACGUGGGGAUCCAUCCCCGGUAGGGAAGCUGGAUACAGUGUGGCCUGGCCAUCCUGCUGAAUUCUACGAAGCCCUCACUCACAGUGGGGAGGAUCUGCACAUAUCCACAUGAACAGUGCUCUAAGAUGAGCUGGUGAGUGAAGGAAGCAAGACGCAGGCCGAUAUUCAAGUGUGAUGCCAUGGCCUGCUAAAAAUAAAGUAGCAUGUGUGUACUGCAGGAGGGGACUAUUAACACGGCCAUCCCCAGCUCCCCACUCUCGUCUCUGACAGAAAGGGCUCCUUUCUCCACCAUGACCUCCCUGGAGAGCCCAAACCUGUUCUUGGACUUCUGCAGAGGCUGGGAAGGGGUAGGGUAGGGACUCCCAGAGCUGGUCUGAAGAAAGCAGCUGCUGCUCUGUGACAAGGCAUGCAUCCCUCCCCACAGAGCUGUUUGUGUAUACAUAUCUGUAUGUUUAUAUAGACAGAUUGUGACAGGGCUCACACAUACCAAAAAAGGUGCACAGUAAACUCGUCUCCAUAGUCACUCUAGGGUGAGAUGAGGUGGCCCUAAAGUGAUGGGAGAAAUGACACAGAUCUUUCAAUAAUGACAUGGAAAGGUAUCCACAGAUUACUUGGGGGAAGGAGGAACAGUUGCAGGAUAAUAGGAUUCAUGGAAUUUCACUUUCAAAAGGACGCAGCUUUGUGUCUCCUUAUAUAGAUACACCACGCUACACAUCAAGCUUUUCCUGCUGGUUACUUCCUGGAAAUGGGAUGAGGAAAGGGUGAGGGGCCACACUGCUUACCUGCCCCCCACGCCCCAUGGAAAGGGUUGGUGGGAAAAUCACAGCAUGAAGCAUUGAGCACAGGGCUUGGCACUUAAGGUGUCCUCAUCCUCAAAGAAUGUGAGCGUUUGGCAGAGCUAGCUGCUUGGGUCUUUUGUUGAAUAAAUACUGUGGCUCACAGGUAGGCUAUGCCAAUAAUCAAAUCCCAGAAAAAGUUUUAUGCAAUAAAAAUACAUUAGCAGCCGGGCACAAUGGCUCACACCUGUAAUCCCAGCACUUUGAGAGGCCAAGGCGGGCAGAUCACGAAGUCAGGAGAUCGAGACCAUCCUGGCCAUGGUGAAAUCCCGUUUCUACUAAAAAAAAACAAAAAAUUAGCCGGGCGUGGUAGCACAUGCCUAUAGCCCCAGCUACCCAGGAGACUGAGGCAGGGGAAUAGCUUGAACCCAGGAGACGGAGGUUGCAGUGAGCUGAGAUCGUGUCACUGUACUCCAGUCUGGCAACAAAGCAAGACUCCAUUUCAAAAAAAAAUAAUAAUAA